UAACGUUAUCGAAUGAUAUUUGUAUGAGA
rnacentral:sRNA from 1 species